CCGGAUCUUCAGUCACUUCUGCCUCUCCCAUAUCUGGAGAAUCUGUCAGAGAAUGAUCUACCUGCUCUACCUUGGCUAACUGAUGAUAUCGUAAACUGCAGGAUUACUCAGAUAGCAGAUGGACAUAAGUUCAUGGCCCUCCCUACAUUUGAAUUUAUUUGCUGGUGGCGUGAUGUCGAAACCAUUGGAGCGGUAACAGCACGUAACAAGAGCAUCGUUGAGGGCCUUCAACAAGACAUGGUUGUUUUGUUCCCCAGAGUUGUUGGUGGUACAACACCUGAGAGUGGAAACCAUUUCAUUCUUUGGGU